AUCCAUUACGGAUGAAAGUUGCAGCCUUGGAGGGUGUCACAGCAGAGAAGAAAGAGCGGGAGCGGAGUUUGGCAGGCGAACAUAAGCGUGGACCAGCAGCUGCAAGCUGGGAACUGUCAGGACAGCAUCUUAGUUUGGACAGCAGGUUUCCUUCUAAACUGGAGGCCAGGAGCUCACAGCAGUGGCUUGGCUAUGACAAGCAGGUUUUCUAGACUGAGUGAAGCACAGAUGUCCCUAGAUAUGCUCCUGACCUAGAGGAGAGACCUGAAGGAAACAUGAGCCUUCUCUCGACAGAGUCAAAAAGUUAAGGAGAGAGUGGUAACACGCAUUAUUUGCAGGAAGCCUGGAAGUUAACAGUAAUGCUGAUGCCUUUAGUAAAGAAUACAGCUUCCAUCUCUAGUACAUUUCUAGUUUUGAAACUCUGCUACAUUUCCAUUUCAUUCCCUCCUGUUGAGAAAACCUGAGCAAGAGAUUAUUUUUCCAUGAGAAAGUGGGCCUUUAAGAUUUUUUGGCCUUGUAUUUCCUAUAUCUCCACUCCUAAAAACAUUACCUUAAUAAAUAUCAAUAUCAUAGACUUAAAUAUUUAAAUUUGGAGUACUUAAAAUAUUAUAAAAGAGAUAACUUGUGAGUCAUCUUUGUGUUUAUAAUAGUGCUCCAAAUUUUUAAAAAUUAGCUACAAAAUACUAUUUUGAAAUAAUCGUUCAUGUCAGUUUUUGUUUUGUAAUGGAAAUUUCUCUUCCAAUGUAAAUAAAGCAUUUUGAUAUGAAAAUUACAACUUGCAUAGUAUUCUGAAUUUAUCAUGUUGUUAGAAAGGCUGCCUAUUGGAUUUUUUUGAGAUUUUCAGAAAAUGCUGCAAACUGGACACUCCAGUUCUUCCAGAUAUUGGUAGCCGCGGCGCAGAGGCAAUGCUGUGUGGUUAGGAGUGAUUACACCACCAGAGACUUCAGGACUAUGAAGAGGAAAAAGUAGUGUUUUUAAAAAAUAAGGAGAUCUUACUAAAAAGGAUCUGGGACAGAGGCAUGAAGGAAGUGAACAGGAUUCAACAGCUGAGAACCAUCAGCCAGAACAUAAAGGAUAGGGAAGAAAAUAGAUGAUAACAGGCUUAUGGCCAUGUGGAAGUGAACACACACUCACCAGUGUUAAUUUACAUCCAAGACUAACUGAAAUUAUGCUGAAAACAUUAUUCACUGGCUGGUGCAUAUCUGUGACAAAAUGACAGAACACUAAGAGUUCUUCCAGUUAAAUUUAUUCAUUUUUUAAAAAUUCUGAGCUAUGUUAUUGUUAACAGAUAAAAUACCACUUGUUUUAUAAAACUACACUGAUAGUCCUCAGUUCAGGUUUUCCUGGAAGCUGACCUUAUGAUGAUGAUGUGAGUACAAGUAGUUUAUCUGGGAGGCAAAGGGAACCCCAGUAAGAAAAUGUAGCCAAAAAAUUAAGGGUUACAAAGCCAGCUACCACUGUGACGGACAGAUGCUUGAUCUGGUGAAGAAGCUCUAGGCAAAGUGUAAGUAUACAUGUAAGAGUUGGCACACCCCAGGCAGGAGCGGGGACCAUAUUUACAGACUCUGUGUGUCACUGAUUGAAAGCUGCUUCCCAGGUCUUAACUUCCUGGCACUUCUGGCUGCCACAUACUGGGGCAGGGCUGGCUUUUGACAAGAGCCCUCAGAUAUGUCAAUGUGGGAUGUACAGUCUCGGGGAACAAGUUACCAAGAGUGGCCUUUUAUUUCCACUGUUCCUACCAUGGCAAAAUCAUGUCAGUCAUUGAUGUUGGGUUCCCACUUACUUUCCAACCCUCCCCAAACCCAAAAGCCUGGGACACUGAUACUCCACCAGCCAGAGGUCAUGUCAGUUGAUGACAUGAAUGACAGUAUAGGGCAGGUGCAGCUCAGAGUGAGACAAAUUCUUGCCAAUCAUUCUGACGGGGAAGGAUGACUCUGGAACUAGCAAGAGAAGCACUGAAGGAUGCCUUUCCUGACCCUCACAUCCAACAAGGGCCUCCAAAUCCUCGCCUUCCUGAUCCAUUUGUUGUUGUUGUUGUUGUUGAGAUAGAGCCUUGCUUGGUCACCCAGGCUGGAGUGCAGUGGUGCAAUCUCGGCUCACUGCAACCUCCACUUCUCAGGUUCAAACGAUUCUCCUGCCUAGGCCUCCCGAGUAGCUGGGAUUACAAAUGUUUGCCACCACACCUCGCUAAUUUUUGUAUUUUUAGUAGAGAUGCGGUUUCACCAUGUUGGUCAGGCUGGUCUGGAACUCCUGACCUUAAAGUGAUCCACCCGCCUUGGUCUCCUAGAGUGUUGGGAUUACGGGUGUGAGCCACCCUGCCUGACCCCAUCUCUUUUUUGAUAACACCUUCUGGUAAGGCGGCUCCACUUAUGGAGGAGAAGGAAUCAUUACACACAGCUGGAACGAGAUGUGCUUCACAGUCCUCUUGGAAACUGCUUUAGAAACUUCUCACUGCCCCAGCUUCCUGUAGCACCUCCUGGAGGCUGGCCAGUGUCAACUAACUUCUGGAAAAGCAGUUAACCAUCCCUAUAUUUGCAGCCAACAAGGUAACUCUAAUUGUGUCAAAGGAUGUCAAAAAAGCCUCCAAAUAUGUGAAAAUAAAAAUAAAAUUCUUUUUGGAAAGAAAACAUUUUGGGAGAGAUGGAAAGGGAAGUGAUUGUGAAAUGGUAAUAUGGUAGCAACUCAAUGAUUACAAAUUCUAAACUUGCAAUACUGCCCUGAAGAAAACAGUUCAUAUCCAUUUAGCUUGCUUGGUAUACUACUACCUAGAAUGGGCAUCUUAAAAAAAAAAAGAAAGACUAAUGACAUUUAAGGCCACUAUUAGAGUGAAGAUCCCACUUACAGGGGCAGAUACCUGCCACUCUUUGGACUUUCAGAGACCCUGUCUUCCACAAGUAUCUCAAACUAAACGCAAAAGUUUUUUUUUUUU
rnacentral:lncRNA from 1 species